CUUGCACAACGCAUGGUAACCGAACACUAAGGCUCCGAAUGGUGACAAAAAUCGCAACCAAAAUCGCACCGCAACAGUGUAGUAACAGUAUCAAAAUCUCUACAUAUACAUAUGUAUCUAUGUAGUUUCGUUAUUAUUUGAACCGCACCGCACUUUUCCCGCACCGCAAAACACAGUCACCAUUCGGAUCCUAAAUGUUCUUGUUUUAAAUCAACUUUCUCACAAGAGAUUGAUAGCUGAAUAGACGUAACACCGUAUCCUUGAGUAUUGGUU
rnacentral:sRNA from 1 species